rnacentral:tRNA from 1 species
GGUGCUUAUAGCUCAGUCGGUUAGAGUAGCGGUUUGUGGUACCGUUGGUCGUGGGUUCGAAUCCCAUUAGGCACCC